CGACGUGUAUACCUCUAAUAGCAGUAUUAUGCUUCCAGCAAUUUAAGUGCUCUUUUGUGAUACGCGUCCACCCUAAACGUAAUGUAAGAAAAGGGAUACUCAGUCUCCUCGUAGAUGUGAUCAUGGAGGUGUCGAAGCAUUCAACAUACAGAGAUUAUGAAUGGGCCAUUGAAUUAAAUCGGCUCAGUUUAACAUUGCUCGGCAUUUGGCCAGAGAAUCAUGAAGCAAAGCAGAAAAAAUUAAUAUCGAACAUACGUGUGAUCAUUAUAUUAAAUCUAAUUACCUGGAUCUGCCUCAUUCCAUCUCUACAUUCAUUGCUGAAGAUUUAUGAUGACAUAAUGUCGACAAUCGAUAAUUUGCAGUACACCAUGCCGCCUCUGAUGGCCAUAAUAAAACUGUUCAUUAUUUGGCAAAAAAAAUAUGACAUUCUACUUCUAUUAAAUAUGAUCAAAGACGAUUGGCUGAGACCAAAGACAUCGGACGAGAGGAACGUUAUGUUAAAACAAGCGCGAAUCGCACGUAUUCUGACGAUAUUCGGUUGUUUCAUGAUGCUUAUGUCUAUCAUUUCCGCUAUUCUUCUUCCUCUCUUUGGCAUUUCAAUUAGAUACAGGACAAAUAGAACGGAUCCGGGCAAAUCUUUACCGUUACAACUAUACUAUGUCUACGAUAAAGACAAGAGUCCAUUUUUUUUCGAAAUAACGUAUGUUCUACAGUGUAUUUCAGUAAUGCUGAUCGGCGUCAUGUAUUCUAGUACGGACAGUUUUUUGAGCUUGCUAGUGUUUCACGUGUGUGGUCAGCUGGAAAAUCUCAAGAAACGUGUGAUUGAUCUUGAUAAAUUUCAUAACUUCAGGAUUGCUCUAUCAUACAUCGUUCGGGAUCAUAUGCGUCUUAUCAGAUCUAUCAAUAUCAUUGACAAUGUAUUUACUAUAAUGCUGCUAGGGGCACUCUUAUACUUUGGCAUAUUAUUCGCUUUUUAUGGAUUUUUAUUUGGUAAUCUGUUCAGCCAAGGUCGAGAUCUUUCUGUUGCACGUUUAACUUUCUUCAUAAUAGUGUCCUCCACCUUGUUUACCCAUAUGUGCCUAUAUUGUGUUGUAGGUGAAAUUUUACUUGCACAAUGUGAAGCAGUUUACGAGGCUACCUAUGAAUACAAGUGGUACAUGUUGGAACCGAAAGAAGCGAAACAUCUAUUGAUGAUAAUGAUUCGUGCCAAUAAGCCGUUGUAUCUCACUGCGGGAAAACUGUUUCCUAUGACUAUGGCCCUGUUUUGUAACCUCUUAAAGACAUCAGGUGGUUAUAUAUCGGUUUUGUUGGCACAUCGGGAGUAAAACAAGAAAUCUACAAAAGAUUAUCCAUGUCAAAUUAGUAGACAACUAGAUUUAUUAUGAAAUCCAAGAGUCUGACAGAUUAUAAAGAAACCAAACCAUUCAGAUAAAAUUACAAAUGACAGGGAAGAAUUUUUUUAAUUGAAUUUGGAUCUGCAUAGCAAAAUCAAUGUGUGCCGAGAAAUCAUUCUUCAGCGAGAACAUAUGACUAAGUGAUAUGUGCGCUCCACUAAAUCAAGAUCAAUGAUAUUAUUCACCAGUUUGCACAGAAAUUCCAAGUCCAAUAAAACUCUACGAUUUUUAAUGU
rnacentral:misc_RNA from 1 species